AGCAGAGCUGAGAGUUUUAGGGACAUGGAAAGGUUUUGCAAGUGCUACCAAUAGUUUAUGGGAAAGGCAACUGUAAAAUCCCCCUCCAACUAGCUGCUAACUUGCUUUCCCUGGGAGUCCUCAACUCCCACAUCCUCUAUGUCCACAAUGUCACAGCUGUGAGAGUGUAACUUUCCCAGGUACUGCUAAUGCUGCCGUUGGAAUGAAACCUUGGAAGGAGUCAAUGUGGAAUGGUAGAAAGAGGACAUUUUUAUUCAUCCCUCUGAUUUCUGUCUUAUGUGUAAUCCAAUUUGAUCUGGCUUUUUUUCCCCACACAAGCUGGUACCUCUGUAUGCACUGUCAUAAUCUUCUAUUUAUAAAGUGGCUUAUUUAAUACAUCUCAGCUUGCAUUCACUGCAUGGUGAGAUGGCUGGGGGUAGGCUAGGUGCUGGAAAGCUUAUGAUUCUCUAAUACUGACCUCUUUUUGGCUUUACAAUUUGUUGGUUUUUGGCUUUUCAACUUCUGCAUCCUUAGGAUAAAAUCCUUGCUACUUGGUGAGACAGAAGAAUGCAGUGGUCAAAUUCACAAGCUCUGAGGUUAAAUUCCCUAGUUUCAAAACAUGGCUUCAUCCUUUACAAACUUUAUCACCUUGAACAAGUUCUUGACCUUCUUGGACUUGAUUCUUUAUUUGUAAAAUGAGGAUAAAAUGAUACCAUCCUCACAGAUUUUUCAUGAGGAGAAAAUGGCAUACAUGUUGUGAUGAAUAGUUUAAGCUGUCAUCUUGGUUAGACCAUAGUAUCCAGCUAUUCAUUUAAACACUAAUCUAGGGAUUGCUCUGAAGGUAUUUUGUAGAUGCGGUCAAUAACUGCAAUCAAAACAUUAAAUAAAGGAUAUUAUCCUCCACAAUCUGAGUUAACAGCAUCCAAUCAGUUAAAAAGCCUUAAGAGUAGCACUGAGAUUUCUUCUGCUUCAAGAUGGCAGCAUCAGCAGCCACCUGGAGCUCUCCAGCCUACCAGCCUGCCAUAUAGAUUUUGAACUUGCCAGCCUCACCAAUGUGUAAGGCAAUUCCUUAAAAUAGAUCUCAGUGUGUGUAUAUAUAUAUAUAUCCCACUGGUUCUGUCACUCUGGAGAAUCCUAAUACAUACAUGCAGAGUAGUUAGCCCAAGGCCUCGCCCAUCACAGUCCCCACAAAGCAUAGAAUAACCAUUAUUAUUUUAUACAUAUCUUUUAAUAUAGAGAAUUCUUUCUGGAAACAUGGGUCAGCAGGGGAUAAUCUAUGAAAAGGCAAUCUUGACAAUUAUUCAUUCUUGUCAUACUUCCUGAAGUUGUAACAUGUCUCUGUUCUAUUUUUCCACUACAACAAUGAUGCUUAUGAUGUUCUUCAUAAUGUCUUAGGUCUUGCAUGACCCUCUACCUGGCAGCCGAUUUUCACUUGUAUUUCUCUGACCUUGCCUUGGGAAGGCCACUUAGCCACUAAGCCUGCAUUUCACAUCACCUGUCAGCUCUUCAAUGAGGCUUUGUAGCAUCUGAAACCCUGUCACCUGUGUACCCUUUUUAAUUUUGUGAGUUAGAGUUGAACCACAAGAAUAUCCAAUAACGGAAGAGAGACCAGAGAGUUAAAUGUCUUUGAGAUUGAGCAAAGUGCCCUAUGGGAAGUUGGUUUAUUGGGUCCAGGAGUGCCUCUUCUAGGCCUGGUCUGAGCGAGACCAAGAGAGGAAAUGGACCGGAUAAGGUUCCUCCUUCCUCCUAGCGCUCCUGACUUUUCAGGCAUGUCUGCCCUCUAGUGGCCAUGAUCCACAGUCACUUUAUGUAAGGAGUGACCAGAGAGGAACUAAGGAGAUUUGUGGCUCUACUUGCUACUUUAACUGGAGACUGAUUCUAGCCCAGCAGAAUUUUUUAAUAAAACACAUAAUGAGCCUCUGGGGUCAAGGACUAUCUUGUUAUCUAGGUACUCUUCUGGGAAUACAGCCCACCUAUCACUGAACCAGGAGAAGAGUCAUGGCCACACAGAGGCAUAAGAUCAAAGUUAGAGGUCUCUUCUGUACAGGGCUGGGGAAUGACAGCCUGCUACGGCUGAGUGGAGGAUCAAGAGGUGCUGGCCCUUAUUUUCCUUAUUUGCAGCAAAAGAGGUGUGCAUAUUGAGGGGUUCCAAAUUAGAGUGAUGAGCAGUCAUGUAGUAUCUGCAUGUGCUUAUUAGAAAGUCACUUUCCAGGGCUCUACUGUGGACCAAGUAAACCAUAUUCUCUCUCUGGGUAAGGCGCCCAAAUCUGAAUUUUUAAUAAUCCCCCAAGACAAAGUGGAUGCUUCUUAAAUCUGAUACCCACUGGGCUCUUAUCCAGGUUACUUUUACUUAUCAUUCAGGACUAACAUUCUAUGGUUCUAAGCCCAUUUAAGUUUGCCUCACUUUAUUCUCCUUAAAGAGAAGCCCUGGGUCACAGAUGUCCAGCAAGAACUCUCUGGGAGCCCCAUCCUCAUCAGCCUUAAAAUCUGUAAACAUCUUCCCCAGCACAUUGUCUUGGCAGGCACAGCAUGCAGGUGCAGAUGGGUCAUGUCUCAAUCUCUGUGGAGCUGGGGGCUGAGCUGAUCCCAACUAACGACUGAUCCUUGCUCAUGGUCAUCAAGUGGCAUCAAAAAACACUUAGGAGGAGCAGAAUGAUGCAACCUGCUGCUGGACGAGUAGGCAAAUUCCUUGGCAAGAAGAUUGAUAUUAGGCAGAAGCAAUGAGAUGGAGAAUCAGGUCAGGCUGAGAGAGAACAUUCUGGAUGACAUCAGGACUGUCAGGAAGCUGGGUAAGGAGCACACUGGGUCAGACUAUGUAAAGAGUCCAAAAAGAUCAGAGACUGACUCAGCCUAUUCCCAAGACAGCAGAUACUUUCAGAAUGACCUGCACUGCUGGACUUCUGGGGUGUUCUCAAGGGCUGCAGGAAGAGUCUGCCAUCCUGAGAAACCCUAUUGACGUAAAGUCCCAGAAACAAAGCCAGGUCUCUGAGAAGAGCCAGAUCCCAUGGUUGUCUCACACACACACCCCUUAUACUCCCUGAGCCUCAGUUUUCUCAUCUGUAAGAUGUGGGUGCUAAACUGGGUAAUGCCUACAGUUUCUUCCAGCUCUGUGUUUCUAGGGAAACAAAACUAUUAAAAUAAAUAAUGAGACAGGAAAACAUGAAAAGAAGUUGUUACCCAAGAUAGUUAUGAGGGGAGGAAGAAUCUUCUGAAGGUAAGAGUUGCUAAAGGGCAGAAGGAAAGCUUGACCUGAGGACAUGAGUGAGCAGACCAGAUGUGGGCAGGGAUAGGAAAGACACCUCCAGAGGCCAGCAUGGGCACUUUGGAUCUAGUAUGGCAUUGCCCGGGGCCAGAAAGAUGUAGUGCUCAGCUUGAGACUAUAUAAGAUCAAGGUAUAAGCAAAACUCCUCAGUGCAACCACCAUUAAGAGGAUGCUCCAAAUAAAAUGAGUCAAACUCUGUAAUGGACUCUCAGGAUGCCACUGCUGUUUAUGCAGCUUUGUGUAGGAAAUGCCCUUGCAUUGAAAAUCCCAGGGAAUAUUAAUUUUACUCAAAUCCCCAAUAAUGAUUAGCAUCAACCUUUCAAAUUCACAGCAUUCUUAAAAGUUUGAAUAAACUGAAAGAAGAUUCAACAUACAUGUUCUGUUCUGCAGCCUCAGGUCCCACAACGCUCCUCAGUUUCACAACAUACUUCUAGUUUCUGUGCUUCUGCCAGAAGGCUCCUUUCAAGGGGAGCCACUAUCUCAGGUAUGGUAUGUCACCCUCAGCUACAAGCCCUCCAAGUCUCUUUGACCAGGGUCUAUACUUCUAGAAUAUAGUACUCAAUGAGGUGUUUUUUUUGAUGUAUCUUAUUCACCACACAUCUAGAAACUCAACCAGGAAUGGGACCUCCACACAGUCACAUACACAACCCUUCUUGUGGAGAUUGAUUUUGCCCUGGACUACACAAACCCCAUUAGCAUUAUUUCUCUCCUUGGACAGAGUAACCAACACUUUUUCUAAUUCCCAAGCUCUUUCUUCUGCAACUCCUGGCAACAGAGAUAGAUGUUCUUUCACCGAAGACUAUCUCGGGGUUGAAGGGCUUUUCAGCCCGUUAUACUCUGGACUCUAGUAGAGCACAGAGGUGUGGUUACUGAAUCACUCAGGGAUGCUUCAUCCCCGUCUUUGGUCACCAAAAUGUACUUGAGGGAGUGAGUAGAAGGGCCAAGUCACUUCUUCUCAUUGCUUUAGGAUCCUUAUUCUAGCAAAGUGGGUCUACAUACACUUUCACGGUGACUGAAUAUCCUUAAUACACAGAAACAGGAUGGAUUUACUCUUGGAAAGCUCUCAUCAGAGAUGGUUGCUAAACUAAGUCUGGAAGGGCUUAAUUAGACUCAAAGCCACAUCUCACAGAUGUUCGACUGCCUUUGGGAAGAAAAGGUCAAGACCUAUGCAUCUUCACCUCUGCCCAGGAGGGAUUUUUCUAGCAGAAUAACACUACAUGUCAUACAUGAGGUAAGUUGGUUUUGAAAGGGCUCUGCUCUGAAGAAAGUGAGAACUCACCAUCUUCUCUUUGGAUAAAACCAAGAAUGGGUUUCCCAGAGCUCAUAUACAGGGUGAGUGACAAGAUCUUAAAGAUGGACAGAUGGUAGGAAAGGAAGGAAGAAAGGAUAUUAAAAAAGAAGGGACUUCUGGAGGUCCAUAUGAGAAAGCUUCUGCUUAGUUUGGAAACAGCAAUGAGAUAUUUUAGAACAUCCUAUUCACUCUGAGAAUGUUUGUGAUUGGCUGUAAGUAUGAUGGAAUUCUUUCUGCUAAUAGGAUCUACUGCAGAAAUUAUUGGCCUACAAUAAUACAAUACAAUAAUUUCUUUCUUUCUUUUUUUCUUUUGCCGACAGGAUUCUGACUUUUAUUCUUAGGUAAGAACACAAAGAACAAAGACAAGUAGCAGCAAAAAGGGCCUGUCUUCUAAUCCGGCUGCGUCCGGGCCUCAAGAAGGACACUUGUGCAGGACACACACCACUCAAUCCUCAGAGACGCUCAGAACCUCACUUGGGCCUGAAGUGCAUCUGAUUGGUGGCAUUGUUCUUCAUUUCCGUCUUCAGCAUCCACUUCGAUUUCAUCCUCUGGACAUACUGAUGUCCCGCUCACGCAGAAGAGCUGCUCCUGUGCUGCCGGUCCAUCCCAGGGCUCUGUACUGCUGCAGUAUCCGGCCCACAGGCUUUUACCAAGAAAAAAGCCUGGUGUCUUGGGAUGUCAGAACCUAGAUCACUGUAGGAUAACCUAACCAUGAAGACAUUGAGAAAGUAGUACCUGUACCAAACAUUGCCAUAACUCACAUGUGGAUAUUUUGGUUCAGGAAGUAUACUGGGGUGACCCUUCACUUUCAAUGUCUUAUGACAACAGAAGAACACAAUAUUUAAAACUGAGACUCGGGUAGCCUGGGUGGCUCAGUGGUUUGGUGCAGCCUUAGGCUCAAGGUGUGAUCCUGGAGACCUGGGAUCGAGUCCCAUGUAGGGCUCCCUGCAUGGAGCCUGCUUCUCCCUCUGCCCAUGUCUCUGCCUCUCUUCUCUCUGUGUCUCUCAUGAAUAAAUAAAUAAAAUCUUAAAAAAAAAUAAAGCUGAGACUCUUCUGGAAAAUCUAAGGUGAAUGGACACCAGAGUAGGAUAGAUGCCAAACAAACCACUGGACAGGAGAAAGGCUUGAGGGCUAUUUCUUCCUAUCAGAAAGGGCUGACAAAUGCUAUGUUCAGAAAGACCAUCUGAGUA